AACGACUCUCGGCAACGGAUAUCUCGGCUCUCGCAUCGAUGAAGAACGUAGCGAAAUGCGAUACUUGGUGUGAAUUGCAGAAUCCCGCGAACCAUCGAGUCUUUGAACGCAAGUUGCGCCCGAAGCCAUUCGGCCGAGGGCACGUCUGCCUGGGCGUCACGC
rnacentral:rRNA from 5 species